rnacentral:rRNA from 1 species
CCUGCUCAAUGAUAAUAAAUAGCCGCAAUUUCCUGUGCUAAGGUAGCAUAAUCAUUAGCUUUUUAAUUAAAAGAUAGAAUGAAUGGCUCAACGAGAUAAAACCUCUCUCAGUAAGUUACAAAAUAAAAUUGAUUUAAAAGGUAAAAAUCCCUUUAUUCAACAACAAGACGACAAGACCCUGACCACAAACUUAAAAUUUAACUGGGGCGGUAAAUCAAAAAAACCUUAUUAUAAUUUUUAUACUUAUCAUAUUAGAAUAUAAUUCUACAGUUACUGCAGGGAUAACAGCGCUACUCUUUUUUAGAGACCUAAUCAAAAAAAGAAUCUACGACCUCGAUGUUGAAUUAAUUUAACUAAUUAAAGCAAAAAUUAAUUAAGAAGGUCUGUUCGACCUAUAAAAAAUU